rnacentral:tRNA from 1 species
GGAGCGGUAGUUCAGUUGGUUAGAAUACUCGCUCGUCACGGCAGGGGUCGCGGGUUCGAGUCCCGUCCGUUCCGCCA